rnacentral:rRNA from 1 species
UUAUCGUUAGUAAGGCCUGCUCAAUGUAAAAUAAAUAGCCGCAGAACAUUCCUGUGCUAAGGUAGCAUAAUAAUUUGCCUUUUAAUUAAAGGCUAGCAUGAAAGGUAUCACAUAUUGAUAACUUUAUUAACCAAAUAAAUUGAACUUACUUUUUAGUAAAAAAGCUAAAAUUCCUCAAGAGGACGACAAGACCCUGACAAACUUUACAAUUUCGUUUUACUGGGGGGGUUAAAAAACUUUAUCUUUUCAAUUUUAAAUAACAGAAAUUUUUCUAUAAUUCAUACAAGUUACUGCAGGGAUAACAGCAUAAUUUUUUCCUAAAGAUCUUAUCCAAGAAAAAGUUUGUGACCUCGAUGUUGAAUUAGAAAUCUAUAUUGGAGCAAAAUCCUUACAAGUAAGUCUGUUCGACUUUUAAUAUUCUACAUGAUUUGAGUUCAGACCGGCGUAAGCCAGGUCGGUUUCUAUCUCUUUUUUGAAUUUUCAGUACGAAAGGAUCAAAAUUCUUAUUUUUAAUUU